rnacentral:rRNA from 1 species
AUUGAACGCUGGCGGCAUGCCUUACACAUGCAAGUCGAACGGUAACAGGUCUUCGGAUGCUGACGAGUGGCGAACGGGUGAGUAAUACAUCGGAACGUGCCCGAGAGUGGGGGAUAACGAGGCGAAAGCUUUGCUAAUACCGCAUACGAUCUCAGGAUGAAAGCAGGGGACCGCAAGGCCUUGCGCUCACGGAGCGGCCGAUGGCAGAUUAGGUAGUUGGUGGGAUAAAAGCUGACCAAGCCGACGAUCUGUAGCUGGUCUGAGAGGACGACCAGCCGCACUGGGACUGAGACAAGGCCCAGACUCCUACGGAAGUCAGCAGUGGGGAAUUUUGGACAAUGGGCGCAAGCCUGAUCCAGCCAUGCCGCGUGCAGGAUGGAGGUCUUCGGGUUGUAAACUGCUUUUGUACGGAACGAAAAGACUCUGGUUAAUACCUGGGGUCCAUGACGGUACCGUAAGAAUAAGCACCGGCUAACUACGUGCCAGCCGCCGCCGUAACAC